GGUUUUGCAGAGUGGCAGUAUCGUAGCCAAUGAGGUUAAUCUGAGGCAUGAUUAUUACCGACUGAAAACUUUUCUCUGAUUUUAAAAAAAACAAAUUCUUUGAUUUUAAAAAAAG
rnacentral:snRNA from 1 species